AUUGAACGCUGGCGGCAGGCCUAACACAUGCACGUAAAGCGUGCGGCGGACGGGUGAGUGAUGUCUGGGAAUCUGCCUGAUGCUGGGGGAUAACUCCUGGAAACGGUAGCUACUACUGCAUCCCAUAAGAUAUGCCUAGAUGGGAUGAGCGAGCAGGUUGUGUAACGGCUAACCUGGGCGACGAUCCCUAGCAGGUCUGAGCGGAUGACCAGCACCACUGGAGGUGAGACACGGUCCAGACUCCGACGUGAGGCAGGAGUGGGGAAUAUUGCGCAAUGGGCUCAAGCCUGAUGCAGCCAUGCCGGGUGUGUGAAGAAGGCCUUCGGGUUGUAAAGCACUUUCAGCGGGGAGGCGUUACCCGCAGAAGAAGCACAGGCUAACUCCGUGCCAGCAGCCGCGGUAAUAC
rnacentral:rRNA from 1 species